rnacentral:rRNA from 1 species
UACGUAGGGUGCGAGCGUUAAUCGGAAUUACUGGGCGUAAAGCGUGCGCAGGCGGUUUUGUAAGCCAGAUGUGAAAUCCCCGGGCUCAACCUGGGAAUGGCAUUUGGGACUGCAAGGCUCGAGUGCGGCAGAGGAGACUGGAAUUCCUGGUGUAGCAGUGAAAUGCGUAGAUAUCAGGAAGAACACCAAUGGCGAAGGCAGCUCUCUGGGACGGUACUGACGCUGAGACGCGAAAGCGUGGGGAGCGAACAGG